rnacentral:rRNA from 1 species
CCAAAGAGAGGUUUCUCUGCGUGCUUGAGGUAUAAUGCAAGUACGGUCGUUUUAGGUUUUACCAACUGCGGCUAAUCUUUUUUAUACUGAGCGUAUUGGAACGUUAUCGAUAAGAAGAGAGCGUCUAGGCGAACAAUGUUCUUAAAGUUUGACCUCAAAUCAGGUAGGAGUACCCGCUGAACUUAAGCAUAUCAAUAAGCGGAGGAAAAGAAACCAACCGGGAUUGCCUUAGUAACGGCGAGUGAAGCGGCAAAAGCUCAAAUUUGAAAUCUGGUACCUUCGGUGCCCGAGUUGUAAUUUGGAGAGGGCAACUUUGGGGCCGUUCCUUGUCUAUGUUCCUUGGAACAGGACGUCAUAGAGGGUGAGAAUCCCGUGUGGCGAGGAGUGCGGUUCUUUGUAAAGUGCCUUCGAAGAGUCGAGUUGUUUGGGAAUGCAGCUCUAAGUGGGUGGUAAAUUCCAUCUAAAGCUAAAUAUUGGCGAGAGACCGAUAGCGAACAAGUACAGUGAUGGAAAGAUGAAAAGAACUUUGAAAAGAGAGUGAAAAAGUACGUGAAAUUGUUGAAAGGGAAGGGCAUUUGAUCAGACAUGGUGUUUUGUGCCCUCUGCUCCUUGUGGGUAGGGGAAUCUCGCAUUUCACUGGGCCAGCAUCAGUUUUGGUGGCAGGAUAAAUCCAUAGGAAUGUAGCUUGCCUCGGUAAGUAUUAUAGCCUGUGGGAAUACUGCCAGCUGGGACUGAGGACUGCGACGUAAGUCAA